GCCUCCCCCGUCCGCCCUGUGAGCCGAGAUGUCUGUGCUCAGCGUGGACGUGGCACUGGGGGACCUUCACUGGAGGAGUCCAGCCUUUCCCCCCCGCAUCAGAUGCUGUGCCUGGUGACAGAUGAUCGUGAGAUGCAGGAGGAAAACCGGGAUAUCAAAACUCGGUGACCAGAGAGGCUAUCGAAACGACAAAAGCCCCCCACCCACCACUCCGUGCGGUCUGGUCUGGAAGUGACCGCUCCGUGAGAAAGGAUGCUUCGUCACCAGGGUGUUCUGGCAGCUGGAACACAGGCACAUGCAGAUCCGUGCCUGCGUCCACCUUCUGGAGAAGAACCAACAGCACCCCUGGUGAGGAGAAAGGGCCGUCAAGAUAUAGCAGCUGGUGGUAGGUCACACGCUUUUCAGACCUGAGCCCAGACUCCAGUGAAGGACCCCGCUCUUCCCGCCUUCCCAGCCCCGUGCUGCUUCCUGCCCCAGCAGAUUCCUCUCUGGGUCUAGAGGUGAGGUUGAUCUUUUGUGUCUGAGCAGGCUGACGGGAGAGACUUCCUGGGUCCCCACUGGCUUGGGUGCACAAGAAAGGCCUGGGCCAGCAGCCUAGUGGAUGGACAGUCACCAAACGUUCUGAUCUGCCCGCUUCCAGGCGCCUGGCAGGAUCUCGCUUCGGGGC